rnacentral:rRNA from 1 species
GGAGGGGGCUAGCGUUGUUCGGAAUUACUGGGCGUAAAGGGCAUGUAGGCGGAUCGGCCAGUCAGAGGUGAAAGCCCUGGGCUCAACCCAGGAACUGCCUUUGAUACUGCCGAUCUAGAGUCCGGGAGAGGAUAGUGGAAUUCCCAGUGUAGAGGUGAAAUUCGUAGAUAUUGGGAAGAACACCAGUGGCGAAGGCGGCUAUCUGGACCGGUACUGACGCUAAGGUGCGAAAGCGUGGGGAGCAAACAGGAUUAGAUACCCUGGUAGUCCACGCCGUAAACGAUGUCUGCUAGACGUCGGGGGGGCGCAGCCCUUCGGUGUCGCAGCUAACGCGAUAAGCAGACCGCCUGGGGAGUACGGCCGCAAGGCUA